UGCUUAGAGGUUAAGCCCGAUGAACCUGAAUAUCCGUUAUGGAAAAUUCAUCAUUAAUACUAUGAUAUUUUUAUUAAUAUUAUAGAAAUAGUGUGCAAUUUUUCCAUAUAAGGACAUUGUAAUCUGUUAAUGUAUUAAAUAUUUAUCAAAAGAUCUAUGAACAUUAUGUUUGAUGGUGUAUUGGUUUUCUAUUUAUAGUUAAUUUUUUACACAUAUCAAUCGUUUAAGAUUUGAUAAAUCAUUGACAGAUUUAUUUAUAUAUAGUGCUUAAAUUUUGUUUUGCAAAAUUUUACAAUAAUAGAUUAAACUAUUGUUUAAUUUAUAUUGUAUGCACUUAUAUGAUUAACAAUGCGAUAGAUUCAGGAUACCUUCGGGACCCGUCUUGAAACACGGACCAAGGAGUCUAACAUAUGUGCAAGUCAUUGGGUAUUUUUAAUAAAACCCAAAGGCGUAAUUAACUUAACUGUUUUUAUGGGAUUAGUUUAUGUUUUAUUUAUAAAAUAUAAAUUCAAUCCCGGGGCGUUCUAUACAGUUAUGCAUAAUGAUUAUUUUAUCAUUUAUGCCUCUAACUA
rnacentral:rRNA from 1 species